rnacentral:rRNA from 1 species
GACGAACGCUGGCGGCGUGCUUAAUACAUGCAAGUCGAACGGUAAGGCCCUUCGGGGUACACGAGUGGCGAACGGGUGAGUAACACGUGGGUGAUCUGCCCUGCACUUCGGGAUAAGCCUGGGAAACUGGGUCUAAUACCGGAUAGGACCACUGCCUGCAUGGGUGGUGGUGGAAAGCUUUUGCGGUGUGGGAUGGGCCCGCGGCCUACCAGCUUGUGGGUGGGGUGAUGGCCUGCCAAGGCGACGACGGGUAGCCGGCCUGAGAGGGUGACCUGCCACACUGGGACUGAGAGACGGCCCAGACGCCUACGGGAGGCAGCAGUGGGGAAUGUUGCACAAUGGGCGCAAGCCUGAUGCAGCGACGCCGCGUGAGGGAUGACGGCCUUCGGGUUGUAAACCCCUUUCAGCAUCGACGAAGCGAAAGUGACGGUAGGUGCAGAAGAAGGACCGGCCAACUACGUGCCAGCCGCCGCCGUAA